GGAACACGGUAUACGCUGCGUCUUCUUGCUUUAUGGUGUAAGUGCACAGUGCAAGUGGGAGCUUCUGCUCAGCAGCAGCACAUAAACAAAGCCCACCAUCGUGCCGCCUGCGCGCGGGCUUCUUCUACGCGUACAGAAAAAGCGCUAGCCGCGGUCAAGCCCCGCCCCGCGACGUCAUUUCGCGGAAACCGACUCGUCUUCUCCAGGAUCUCCGCGCCUCCCUGAAAGCAGCGUUUCUUUUCUGCAAAAGCGAAACUGAAUGAAGCUUUUCCAAUUCAGCAGUUCCUUCUCCGCCUUCAGUACAGCUGAUCCGGUGCACAAAGCACAGCCUCAGGAAGUCAUCCCUGUCUAUCAUCUACCCUAGAUUUCCGCCUUCCUUUGAUAUACAACCCAUCUUGCCUCCAAGGUUUACUACAGUGCAGUCCUGACUGUCAAUACAGUUAAUCCCAUUUGUUUCAAUGUCAGGAAGCAGUAUGAAUCCAAACCAUUUCCUCCAGAGCAUUGUUCCUCCAAAGCAAGCUCCUGUGUCAAGUCUGUUAGGAAGAAGCAAAACAGAGAUUUUUUUCUGCAGAGGAAAAAUCCAGUUUGCAGUGUGUAUCCAAAGAAACGUCAAAGUUGUUUGCUGUAAUCCUCAGUCAGCUGAUCAGUGGUAACUGCAAGACCCUUUGAAGGCAUCCUUCCAGCACCAGUUUGUUCACCUUCACUGAUCAGCAUUAGAAUAAUCUUCUUUGAACUUUGACAGUUAUGACAGGUUUUUGCCCCUUUUCUCUUGUUUUCCGUAUCAAAGAGAGUGAUGCCCUGUUGGGGUAUUAUGCCUGAACAGAAGAUAUCAACUCAUGCAGGGGCCAUUGGACCAUGCCCCUACAUCCCCUUCCGUAUCCACAUCCUCUAUGUUCCGGACCUUCCUGUAUUGAACAGGGAGAGUCUUAAAGGGGCCAUCUAUCCACAUUCAUUUGAAUGCCAAUCUGAGUCAGGGCAAGACUGGGAACCCUGGAAGAAAUGAGGAAAAAGCAAACUGAAGCACAGGUUCUUCAAGUUAUAUAUCAAAUUGUAUCAUAAAUUCUUGUUCUAAUUGUUGCUCUGAUCGGUAUCUAUUGGGAGGUGUCUGUUUCUUGAAGACCAGAAUAUAACUGGUUUGGGGGUUGUCUUCCCCCCCCCGCCAUUUUUUUGACAGGAGCAGGGGAGGAAUUGCACUGUGGUAGAACAGCAGAAAGUUUUAUCUGCCUUGGAAGAGCAGAGAACAGAACAGGAUGAGUCACAAUUGUUGCAACACAGUUUACUUUAUUGGGGGAUGGGUUGCCUUUUUACUCUGUUAUUCUGAAAAGGAAAAGGAACAGCUGGAAGAGAACUGAAAUGGCUCUUCAGGGGGACAAACUGGCAAAAGUAACUCCAUCAAGCUUUUAAAAAAAAAUUGGAAAAGAAAAAGCAUUAGGAAUGUCAA